AUUGAACGCUGGCGGCAGGCUUAACACAUGCAAGUCGAGCGGGGGAGGUUGCUUCGGUAACUGACCUAGCGGCGGACGGGUGAGUAAUGCUUAGGAAUCUGCCUAUUAGUGGGGGACAACAUUCCGAAAGGAAUGCUAAUACCGCAUACGCCCUACGGGGGAAAGCAGGGGAUCUUCGGACCUUGCGCUAAUAGAUGAGCCUAAGUCGGAUUAGCCAGCUGGUGGGGUAAAGGCCUACCAAGGCGACGAUCUGUAGCGGGUCUGAGAGGAUGAUCCGCCACACUGGGAAUGGGACACGGGCCAGACUCCGACGGGAGGCAGCAGUGGGGAAUAUUGGACAAUGGGCGGAAGCCUGAUCCAGCCAUGCCGCGUGUGUGAAGAAGGCCUUUUGGUUGUAAAGCACUUUAAGCGAGGAGGAGGCUCUUAAAGUUAAUACCCUUGAUGAGUGGACGUUACUCGCAGAAUAAGCACCGGCUAACUCUGUGCCAGCCGCCGCGGUAAAAC
rnacentral:rRNA from 1 species